AGUGAACGCUGGCGGUAGGCCUAACACAUGCAAGUCGAACGGCAGCACAGUAAGAGCUUGCUCUUACGGGUGGCGAGUGGCGGACGGGUGAGGAAUACAUCGGAAUCUACUUUUUCGUGGGGGAUAACGUAGGGAAACUUACGCUAAUACCGCAUACGACCUACGGGUUAAAGCAGGGGAUCUUCGGACCUUGCGCGAUUGACUGAGCCGAUGUCGGAUUAGCUAGUUGGCGGGGUAAAGGCCCACCAAGGCGACGAUCCGUAGCUGGUAUGAGAGGAUGAUCAGCCACACUGGAACUGAGACACGGUCCAGACUCCUACGGGAGGCAGCAGUGGGGAAUAUUGGACAAUGGGCGCAAGCCUGAUCCAGCCAUACCGCGUGGGUGAAGAAGGCCUUCGGGUUGUAAAGCCCUUUUGUUGGGAAAGAAAAGCAGCAGGUUAAUACCCCGCUGUUCUGACGGUACCCAAAGAAUAAGCACCGGCUAACUUCGUG
rnacentral:rRNA from 1 species